CCUACGGGGCGCAGCAGUGAGGAAUAUUGGUCAAUGGACGAGAGUCUGAACCAGCCAAGUAGCGUGAAGGAUGACUACCCUAUGGGUUGUAAACUUCUUUUAUAUGGGAAUAAAACGUUCCACGUGUGGGAUUUUGUAUGUACCAUAUGAAUAAGGAUCGGCUAACUCCGUGCCAGCAGCCGCGGUAAUACGGAGGAUCCGAGCGUUAUCCGGAUUUAUUGGGUUUAAAGGGAGCGUAGGUGGAUUGUUAAGUCAGUUGUGAAAGUUUGCGGCUCAACCGUAAAAUUGCAGUUGAAACUGGCAGUCUUGAGUACAGUAGAGGUGGGCGGAAUUCGUGGUGUAGCGGUGAAAUGCUUAGAUAUCACGAAGAACUCCGAUUGCGAAGGCAGUUCACUGGACUGCAACUGACACUGAGGCUCGAAAGUGUGGGUAUCAAACAGGAUUAGAUACCCGUGUAGUC
rnacentral:rRNA from 1 species